UGUGUGACUGCGUACCUUUUGUAUAAUGGGUCAGCGACUUAUAUUCUGUAGCAAGGUUAACCGAAUAGGGGAGCCGGAGGGAAACCGAGUCUUAAUUGGGCGUUAAGUUGCAGGGUAUAGACCCGAAACCCGGUGAUCUAGCCAUGGGCAGGUUGAAGGUUGGGUAACACUAACUGGAGGACCGAACCGACUAAUGUUGAAAAAUUAGCGGAUGACCUGUGGCUGGGGGUGAAAGGCCAAUCAAACCGGGAGAUAGCUGGUUCUCCCCGAAAGCUAUUUAGGUAGCGCCUCGUGAAUUCAUCUCCGGGGGUAGAGCACUGUUUCGGCUAGGGGGCCAUCCCGGCUUACCAACCCGAUGCAAACUGCGAAUACCGGAGAAUGUUAUCACGGGAGACACACGGCGGGUGCUAACGUCCGUCGUGAAGAGGGAAACAACCCAGACCGCCAGCUAAGGUCCCAAAGUCAUGGUUAAGUGGGAAACGAUGUGGGAAGGCCCAGACAGCCAGGAUGUUGGCUUAGAAGCAGCCAUCAUUUAAAGAAAGCGUAAUAGCUCACUGGUCGAGUCGGCCUGCGCGGAAGAUGUAACGGGGCUAAACCAU
rnacentral:rRNA from 2 species